CCUACGGGAGGCAGCAGUGAGGAAUAUUGGUCAAUGGUCGGGAGACUGAACCAGCCAAGCCGCGUGAGGGAUGAAGGUACAGAGUAUCGUAAACCUCUUUUGUCAGGGAACAAAGGCGGGGACGUGUCCCCGGAUGAGUGUACCUGAAGAAAAAGCAUCGGCUAACUCCGUGCCAGCAGCCGCGGUAAUACGGAGGGUGCAAGCGUUACUCGGAAUCACUGGGCGUAAAGAGUGCGUAGGCGGGGUAAUAAGUCAGGUGUGAAAUCCUGUGGCUUAACUACAGAACAGCAUUUGAAACUGGUACUCUGGAGUGUGGGAGAGGUAGGUGGAAUGCGUGGUGUAGGGGUGAAAUCCGUAGAGAUCAAGAAGAAUACUCAUUGCGAAGGCAGCCUGCUGGAACAUUACUGACGCUGAGGCACGAAAGCGUGGGGAGCAAACAGGAUUAGAUACCCUUGUAGUC
rnacentral:rRNA from 1 species